UUAGAAUCACAUCUACAAGAUAUGCUAUAGAAAAAGGCUUUUACAUGGACAAUGAAGCCCAGAAAAAGGAACUGAGAAUCAGACAUGGGACAUUACAAGAUGACUCUUUCUAAGGGAAAUAACCCUGGGCAGUCCAGAAAGUGAUUCCUGAAACAUUCUCUCCCCUCCAAAGGCUUUUUCUGCAUUGGAAAUACUACAGGUCAAGGUACAACAACUGAUUCUAACAGGGUCAAAAAGCACAUUGUAUCUUUAAGGAAAGUCCAGAAACCAUAGAAAACCUCAACUCCAAGCAGAAGAAAAGCACAGGUUUACAACACAAGAAGAACAGAAGUGCUACCAAACAAAAAUACCGGAAUACUGAGAAAAUGGUACCAAUGUGCCCAGAAGGAAAAAGAGCAAAGCAUACAACCUAAAUACUAAGAUAGUACAACACAGUGCCAAAAAAAGCCUAAAGCAGCGCACGCAACAGAAACAACUUGGAACUUACCAAACACAAAUAUGGAUCAGUGGCAAAAAAAAAAAAAGAAGAUAAAUAUUCAAGAGACAAAGCAGGCAACAAGACGGUAGGUCCAAGUGGCAUAACCAACACGAGUAAAACUGAGAAAAGACAAAAGCGAGUAACGUGGUUCUCCUGCACCAGAAAUGCUGCUAUCGAUAAGGGUGCUACACAGCCAGCAGCAGAGCAUGAGGUAACCUCCGCGUCACUCCCUCUGGGGAGAGCAGCUCUGGAAGGAGAUGAAGGGAAGGUUUUCCUCUCCUGCGCUCCGGGUCUCCCGUCCAGCACAGGGCCCUCGGCGCAGCCAGCUGGUGCACUUGCAAGAGCAGCGUGGCUGCCCGCGGCUGUGCCAGGCCUGCGGGCCAGGCGGAGCUGGCAGCCAGCCCGCUCCCCCUCACAGGCUAAUUGCUGCUGGCAUGAGCUCCCCGAGCAGGACAGCAGCCACAGCCCUGCACAGCAACCAAGGCACAAAUGCCAUUUAGCAGGGCACUGCAGAGCUACGGUACAAGCACCGUACCCCAGCCACCUCACCACUAAGUGCCCACAGCAGAGGACGGGUGAUGUGGCCAUCUAGGGACCUCAGCCCACCAGUAGCCCUGUCCCACGGCCAUGGUCUCAAAUGGCGGUAGGAGAGAAGUUGAGAGAUGGUCAGCAUAUUCAUUAGUAGGUCAUCAGGAAUGAUCAAUGAAGAAAAAAAUAUGGCAGUACUAAACCAACCAAAAAUCCCAGCAGCUCUUUUUCCAAGUAUUUGUUACUGGAAAGAUCAUUUCCUGCAAAACAUCCUUGAAGAUCCUUGAACAGAUUCCCUAAGAAAAAACGCAAGACUGAGUCUAACAUCUAAUAAUUUUCUCACUGAGUUUUGCUACUAGUUAUAAAGCUAACAAUUUUCAAAAUUCCUCUAAAUGCAGAUAUGCACUGCUGUCAAAAUGUCAGUGCCUCUGUUUCAACACAGCUGUUAAAUGGGUCACUCAUUAAAGCCUAACAGUCUAGAAAAGCCAGGAAUCAGACUAAAGAAACCACAAAUAAUCUUCAUUAUUAAGCGAGUAUAUAUUAUCAGAGCAGUUAUCAAAGGCUUGUGCCAUUAGAGCAAGCGUAAGGUGCUGGCAGAAUAAAACCAACACCCACAGAUCAAGUAAGAACUGAAAUAUAAUUAGUUCAAGGUUUUAAUCUUCAUUAUAAAUAGCUAAUAGAAUGCUUCAUAAUUGAGAGCUUUCACUCCUGUUAAUUUUUUUAUGAGCAAUUUAGGCAUCUGCCAUUCCAGUCAGCAAAUUGUUAUGAAAGCAUACACUUCAGCAUCGUGGUGUCCUCAUUUUACAUCCUUACAUGUACAGUGCUCACCAGUGAGAGUCACUGGAAGGCUUUCAUGUAGAGAAAGGAAUAAGGCCAAGUAGAAAGGAGAAUGAAUUAAAAAACUUCAAGGGAUUGAAAUGAUCCCUUUACUUUUUGAAUUAUUACUCUUACACACAUAUUAACCAACUGACCCAUAUGCAGAAAUAUGCUAAUACUACAAGGGAGACAUCUUUUUCUCACACAUUUACUGGGCAACACGAAAAUCAGAUCACACUCUAAGCCUCUUCAGAUUCACCUUUCUCACAGUGCUGGAGCCUGAUUUCUACUGUAGGGGUGCCAGAGAAUAAGAACAUUUCUGCUUCACAUAUGCACUGAAACUCUAAGCUCCCACCACACUUCAUAUACUAUUGCUGCUUAUACAAGGAUUUCUCAUCUGAAGGUUUUUUCCUGUUUACAAUUAUGGCCUAAGGCACAACUUUAAAAAUAUUCAAAUAAAUACAUAUAUAUAUAUAAAUUAGAAUAUAAAUUUUAUAAUAUAACUGAAAAUUUAGACUAAGUACUCCCUGCAA